UAGCCACUAUGAAGAGGGAGAA
rnacentral:misc_RNA from 1 species